CUUCUAAUCGCCGCCGAUCCUCCGCCCGACGAGGAUCAAUUUCUAUCUCUAGCGUGGAGGGAACUUUUUUGGGAGGGGGAGAGAGCAGCUGCCAGAAACUCGAAUAAU